rnacentral:lncRNA from 1 species
UCUUGCACACGGUGGAAGCUUUGUUUUUUAGCUCUUUGUAGUAAAUCUUGCUGCUGCUCGUUGUUUGGGUCCACAGUGUCUUUAUGAGCUGUAACACUCACUGCGAAGGUCUGCAGCUUCACUCCUGAGGCCAGCAAGACCACGAACCCACGGGGAGGAAUGAACAACUCCCCACGGGAGGAACGAACAACUCCCCACACCUUAAAAGCUGUAACACUCACCGGGAAGAUCUGCAGCUUCACUCUUGAAGCCAGUGAGACCACGAACCCACCAGAAGAAACUUCGAAUACGUCCGAACGUCAGAAGGAACAAACUCCAGACACACCAUCUUUAGGAACUGUAACACUCACGGAAGUAUAUGUGUCGGAAGAGGUUGCAAGCGACAACACCAGAUGGCUCCCGUAAGAAUGCAUGAGUGGGAGGAGAGGAGGCAACGUUUGGUGACCAGCAGAAACAGAGAUUGAUAGACUCUUUGAUAGAAUUGGAAUUAGGCAUAAUUCUUCAGGAGUGCACCUGGGAUGCAUGGCAAAGUUUAUCCUCACAGGCUUCCCUCCCUGGCUGGUAUCAACCAUGUAUGAGGAACAGGUGGAGUUCUCCUUGUCCAGGCCUGACACCCAGGCUUACUGUGGAAUUAAAGAGCUGUGGACAGUAGCUGCUCAAAAGGAAGGUGACAGGUGAGUUCCUGAACAUCCAGAUUGUCAACAGCCAAAGACAAGAUGGCCACCUGGAAGAGGAGCUGGGGGACAGUUCUGGACAAAUUCAAGUCAGGUUUGCUGGCUUUUCCACCAUGGGCAGAUGAUGCCACAGAGAGGGGUUAUCAGUGAGCAGUACCAUGCAACAUGCAGUGCAGCAGAAACAACAGCUAAGAAAAGACAUUUCCUCAUGAUUAAUUUCAGACCAUACAUCUUUGGCAAGAGUUUCACAGAAACUUCUCAUCGCAUCUUAUCAGGCGGCACACGAUUCUGUUUUGUCUUGGAAUGAAGGAUGCUGACUUUGAUCACUUGCUUGCCGUAGUGUCUGCCAGCCGUCUCCACCAUCAAGCUACUCUUUUCUUCUUUGAGGGUGUGGCUGUGCUAGGAAAGAGACUUGGCCCACAGCCUCACAGUGAUUCAGAAGACGCUGGGUGAGGACCUCUGUGUCCCUGCUCCAAGGACCCUGAGAUGACCCAUCCCAGGACACUCAAUCCUGCCUGCAGAUGCUAGGCUCUGAGGAGAUGCCUGCUAUAGCACCAGCACAUUCUGCAGACAUGUUUUGAAAUGUGUUAAUAAAUAACUGGAGAACA